CCUGGCUCAGGAUGAACGCUAGCUACAGGCUUAACACAUGCAAGUCGAGGGGAAACGAUAGAGAAAGCUUGCUUUUUCUAGGCGUCGACCGGCGCACGGGUGAGUAACGCGUAUCCAACCUGCCCACCACUUGGGGAUAACCUUGCGAAAGUAAGACUAAUACCCAAUGAUAUCUCAAGAAGACAUCUGAAUGAGAUUAAAGAUUUAUCGGUGAUGGAUGGGGAUGCGUCUGAUUAGCUUGUUGGCGGGGUAACGGCCCACCAAGGCGACGAUCAGUAGGGGUUCUGAGAGGAAGGUCCCCCACAUUGGAACUGAGACACGGUCCAAACUCCUACGGGAGGCAGCAGUGAGGAAUAUUGGUCAAUGGACGAGAGUCUGAACCAGCCAAGUAGCGUGCAGGAUGACGGCCCUAUGGGUUGUAAACUGCUUUUAUAAGGGAAUAAAGUGAGUCUCGUGAGACUUUUUGCAUGUACCUUAUGAAUAAGGACCGGCUAAUUCCGUGCCAGCAGCCGCGGUAAUACGGAAGGUCCGGGCGUUAUCCGGAUUUAUUGGGUUUAAAGGGAGCGUAGGCCGGAGAUUAAGCGUGUUGUGAAAUGUAGAUGCUCAACAUCUGCACUGCAGCGCGAACUGGUUUCCUUGAGUACGCACAAAGUGGGCGGAAUUCGUGGUGUAGCGGUGAAAUGCUUAGAUAUCACGAAGAACUCCGAUUGCGAAGGCAGCUCACUGGAGCGCAACUGACGCUGAAGCUCGAAAGUGCGGGUAUCGAACAGGAUUAGAUACCCUGGUAGUCCGCACGGUAAACGAUGGAUGCCCGCUGUUGGUCUGAAUAGGUCAGCGGCCAAGCGAAAGCAUUAAGCAUCCCACCUGGGGAGUACGCCGGCAACGGUGAAACUCAAAGGAAUUGACGGAAGG
rnacentral:rRNA from 1 species